rnacentral:rRNA from 1 species
AUUGAACGCUGGCGGCAUGCCUAACACAUGCAAGUCGAGCGGAGCGGCGGACGGGUGAGUAAUGCCUAGGAAUCUGCCUGGUAGAGGGGGAUAACGUCCGGAAACGGGCGCUAAUACCGCAUACUAUCAGAUGAGCCUAGGUUGGAUUAGCUAGUUGGUGGUGUAAAUGCCUACUAAGGCGACGAUCCGUAACCGGUCUGAGAGGAUGAUCAGUCACACUGUAACUGAGAAACGGUCCAGCCUCCUACGGGAGGCAGAGAUGGGGAAUAGUGGACAAUGGGCGAAAGCCGACUCCGGCCAUGCCGCGUGUGUGAAGAAGGUCUUCGGAUUGUAAAGCACUUUAAGUUGGAAGGCGUUACCAACAGAAUAAGCACCGGCUAACUUCGUGCCAGCAGCCGCGGUAAUAC